rnacentral:tRNA from 1 species
UAGUGGAUACGGCGUCCGACUUCUAAUCGGAAGAUCGCGGGUUCGAACCCCGCUG